rnacentral:rRNA from 1 species
CCUACGGAGUGCAGCAGUGGGGAAUAUUGCACAAUGGGGGAAACCCUGAUGCAGCGACGCCGCGUGAGUGAAGAAGUAUUUCGGUAUGUAAAGCUCUAUCAGCAGGGAAGAAAAUGACGGUACCUGAUUAAGAAGCCCCGGCUAACUACGUGCCAGCAGCCGCGGUAAUACGUAGGGGGCAAGCGUUAUCCGGAUUUACUGGGUGUAAGGGGAGCGUAGACGGCAGCACAAGUCUGGAGUGAAAUGCCGGGGCUUAACCCCGGAACUGCUUUGGAAACUGUGCAGCUAGAGUGCAGGAGAGGUAAGUGGAAUUCCUAGUGUAGCGGUGAAAUGCGUAGAUAUUAGGAGGAACACCAGUGGCGAAGGCGGCUUACUGGACUGUAACUGACGUUGAGGCUCGAAAGCGUGGGGAGCAAACAGGAUUAGAUACCCGUGUAGUC